rnacentral:tRNA from 1 species
UGCUCUGUGGUGCAAUGGAUAGCUCAUUGGACUUCUAAGUAUAUGACAGCAUUCAAAGAUUGAGGGUUUGAAUCCCACCAGAGUCA